rnacentral:rRNA from 1 species
CCUACGGGAGGCAGCAGUGAGGAAUAUUGGUCAAUGGGCUUACGCCUGAACCAGCCAAGUCGCGUGAGGGAAGACUGCCCUAUGGGUUGUAAACCUCUUUUGCCAGGGAGCAACGCGGUCCACGUGUAGUCCGACUGAGAGUACCCGAAGAAAAAGCAUCGGCUAACUCCGUGCCAGCAGCCGCGGUAAUACGGAGGAUGCGAGCGUUAUCCGGAUUUAUUGGGUUUAAAGGGUGCGUAGGCGGAAUGGAAAGUCAGCGGUAAAAUCGCGGGGCUCAACCUCGGUCCGCCGUUGAAACUGGCGGUGUUGAGUGGGCGAGAAGUAUGCGGAAUGCGUGGUGUAGCGGUGAAAUGCAGAGAUAUCACGCAGAACUCCGAUUGCGAAGGCAGCAUACCGGCGCCCAACUGACGCUGAGGCACGAAAGCGUGGGUAUCGAACAGGAUUAGAUACCCGAGUAGUC